rnacentral:lncRNA from 1 species
GCCAGGGCAAAUUCUGAUGUCUUGAGAUGAUGUAAUUGGGGGAACAAUUUUUUGAUAACAUCUAUGGAUAUUUUUGUUGUGUGACUUGUUGCCUCAUCUUGUUGAAAUCACAUUUUUCUGUUAAUAUGAAAGUAAGUUGCCAACCAUGAAGUCACAAAUGUGUCUACAUCUGCAUGUAAUGCUCAGCAUUUAAUAAAACAUAAUUCUCAUUGUCAUCUUCAAAAAAGUAAUCACGGUUGGCAACUUACCUUCAUAUUAAUGGAGAAAUGUGGUUCAAACAAGAUGAGGACAGCGGGUCACACAACAGAAAUAUCCAUGGGUGUCGUCGUAAGAUUGUUCCCCAAUUAUGUCAUCUCAAAGCAUCGGAGUUUGCUUUGUCCUGUGAGAUCGUCAGAUUUUUCGCCUUGUGACUCCUCAAAGAAAACAGUCACAAGCCAAAAUAGCACUAUAUUUAAAAAAUAAAGUGUUUGGUGCUCCAGCGCUUGGAGAUGUCUCAUCAUUGGGGCGGGGAAUCCAGCAGGAGAUGGCGCGGAUUUCUCUUCAAGUGCUGUGCGGAAUGGUGGAUAAUUUCUGAUUGAGCUU